rnacentral:rRNA from 1 species
GUGCCAGCAGCCGCGGUAAUACCGGCAGCUCAAGUGAUGUGCCAUAUUAUUGGGCCUAAAGCGUCCGUAGCUGGCCGACCAAGUCUCCCGGGAAAUCCACCCGCUCAACGGGCGGCCGUCCGGCGGAACCUGUGUGGCUUGGGACCGGGAGGCCUGAGGGGUACGAUCGGGGUAGGAGUGAAAUCCUGUAAUCCCGCUCGGACCGCCGAUGGGGAAACCACCUCAGGAGAACGGAUCCGACAGUGAGGGACGAAAGCCAGGGUCUCGAACCGGAUUAGAAACCCCUGUAGUCC